UACGAAGGUCCCGAGCGUUAUCCGGAUUUAUUGGGUUUAAAGGGUGCGUAGGUGGGUUUGUAAGUCAGCGGUGAAAUCUCCGGGCUUAACUCGGAAACUGCCAUUGAUACUAUAGAUCUUGAAUUUUCUGGAGGUAAGCGGAAUAUGUCAUGUAGCGGUGAAAUGCUUAGAUAUGACAUAGGACACCAAUUGCGAAGGCAGCUUGCUACAGGAAUAUUGACACUGAGGCACGAAGGCGUGGGGAUCAAACAGG
rnacentral:rRNA from 1 species